CCAGACUCCUACGGGAGGCAGCAGUGAGGAAUAUUGGUCAAUGGCCGAGAGGCUGAACCAGCCAAGUCGCGUGAGGGAAGACGGCCCUACGGGUUGUAAACCUCUUUUGUCGGGGAGCAAAGCGAACCACGUGUGGUUCAUUGAGAGUACCCGAAGAAAAAGCAUCGACUAACUCCGGGCCAGCAGCCGCGGUAAUACGGAGGAUGCGAGCGUUAUCCGGAUUUAUUGGGUUUAAAGGGAGCGUAGAUGGGUUGUUAAGUCAGUUGUGAAAGUUUGCGGCUCAACCGUAAAAUUGCAAUUGAUACUGGCAGUCUUGAGUACAGUUGAGGUAGGCGGAAUUCGUGGUGUAGCGGUGAAAUGCUUAGAUAUCACGAAGAACUCCGAUUGCGAAGGCAGCUUACCAAACUAUAUCUGACGUUGAGGCACGAAAGCGUGGGUAGCAAACAGGAUUAGAUACCCGUGUACC
rnacentral:rRNA from 1 species